rnacentral:rRNA from 1 species
UGGGGUGGCGAUGGCGGAGGGGUCACACCUCUUCCCAUUCCGAACAGAGAAGUUAAGCCCUCCAGCGCCGAUGGUACUGCCCGGGAAACUGGGUGGGAGAGUAGGACGCCGCCCCUU